GACGAACGCUGGCGGCGUGCCUAAUACAUGCAAGUCGAGCGGACGGAUGGGGGCUUGCUCCCAGACCGUCAGCGGCGGACGGGUGAGUAACACGUGGGCAACCUGCCUGUAAGACUGGGAUAACUCCGGGAAACCGGGGCUAAUACCGGAUAACUCUUUCCCUCACAUGAGGGAAAGCUGAAAGAUGGCAUCUCGCUAUCACUUACAGAUGGGCCCGCGGCGCAUUAGCUAGUUGGUGAGGUAACGGCUCACCAAGGCGACGAUGCGUAGCCGACCUGAGAGGGUGAUCGGCCACACUGGGACUGAGACACGGCCCAGACUCCUACGGGAGGCAGCAGUAGGGAAUCUUCCGCAAUGGACGAAAGUCUGACGGAGCAACGCCGCGUGAGUGAUGAAGGUUUUCGGAUCGUAAAACUCUGUUGUCAGGGAAGAACAAGUACCGGAGUAACUGCCGGUACCUUGACGGUACCUGACCAGAAAGCCACGGCUAACUACGUG
rnacentral:rRNA from 1 species